rnacentral:rRNA from 1 species
AGAACGAACGCUGGCGGCAGGCCUCAAACAUGCAAGUCUAGGGGGUGUAGCAAUACAUCACCGGCGGACGGGUGCGUAACACGUGGGAAUAUACCUUUUGGUUCGGAACAACGCAGGGAAACUUGCGCUAAUACCGAAUGUGCCCUUACGGGGAAAGAUUUAUCGCCAAAGGAUUAGCCCGCGUAGGAUUAGCUAGUUGGUGAGGUAAUGGCUCACCAAGGCUCCGAUCCUUAGCUGUUCUGAGAGGAGAUCAGCCACACUGGGACUGAGACACGGCCCAGACUCCUACGGGAGGCAGCAGUUGGGAAUCUUGGACAAUGGGGGAAACCCUGAUCCAGCCAUGCCGCGUGAGUGAUGAAGGCCUUCGGGUUGUAAAACCUCUUUCGACGGGGACGAUAAUGACGGUACCCGUAGAAGAAGCUCCGGCUAACUUCGCGCCAGCAGCCGC